CUAUUUUUCAGAACUUUCCAAACGGAUUAGAAGAAUUACUUGGAAUUGUAUAGAGGAUAAUUCGCCCUCAGCUGAAAGAAAUGCAAUUAUAGCAAUGAUAAAGCCGUAUGAUAACUGUGUGAAAAAUUUGAACGUAGAUGACGUCGUCCGUGACCCCUUUCAGUCUGCAGAUUUAGCUGUGGUAGUUGAAUGUGUCAGUG